rnacentral:rRNA from 1 species
GUUUUCCUACGGGGGGCAGCAGUGGGGGAUAUUGGACAAUGGGGGGAACCCUGAUCCAGCGACGCCGCGUGAGUGAAGAAGUAUUUCGGUAUGUAAAGCUCUGUCAGCAGGGAAGAAAAUGACGGUACCUGACCAAGAAGCCCCGGCUAAAUACGUGCCAGCAGCCGCGGUAAUACGUAUGGGGCAAGCGUUAUCCGGAUUUACUGGGUGUAAAGGGAGCGUAGGCGGCAGGGCAAGCCUGAUGUGAAAGCCCGGGGCUCAACCCCGGGACUGCAUUGGGAACUGCCCUGCUGGAGUGCCGGAGG